GAAUUCGGUAAGCGUUGGAUUGUUCACCCACUAAUAGGGAACGAGAGCUGGGUUUAGACCGUCGUGAGACAGGUUAGUUUUACCCUACUGAUGGAGUGUUAUCGUAAUAGUAAUUGAACUUAGUACGAGAGGAACUGUUCAUUCAGAUAUUUGGUAUUUGCGCCUGUCCGAUCGGCAAUGGCGCGAAGCUAUCAUCUGCUGGAUUAUGGCUGAACGCCUCUAAGUCAGAAUCCGUGCUAGAGACGAUGAUGUUGGUCCCGCACAUGUGACUUGAGUUGAGAUAGAGCUCUGCUCGUGUACCUUUUCAGGUGGGCUGGGCUGCUGCAGCGGAAAUGCUGUGGUGGCUUGUCCACGAAUUGCAAUCAUAAUAUGGGCGGGGGUGAAUCCUUUGCAGACGACUUGAAUGGGGAACCGGGGUACCUGUAAGCGGUAGAGUAGCCUUGUUGCUACGAUGCGCUGAGGUUAAGCCCUUGUUCUAUAG
rnacentral:rRNA from 1 species